UGCAUAUUUGCGUUGAUUUCA
rnacentral:siRNA from 1 species